rnacentral:misc_RNA from 1 species
GAUCAUUAGCGCGCAGGCCGGAGGCUGGCCCCCCACGAUAGGGCCAAACGUCCGUCAGGGGUGAGCAGAUGUGCGCCGGCCGUACCGCCCCAUUCUUGUCUACAUUACUCGGUUGCCUCGGCGGGCCGCGCUCUCCCAGGAGAGCCGUUCGGCGAGCCUCUCUUUAGUGGCUAAACGCUGGACCGCGCCCGCCGGAGGACAGACGCAAAAAAAUUCUUUCAGAAGAGCUGUCAGUCUGAGCGUUAGCAAGCAAAAAUCAGUUAAAACUUUCAACAACGGAUCUCUUGGUUCCGGCAUCGAUGAAGAACGCAGCGAAAUGCGAUAAGUAAUGUGAAUUGCAGAAUUCCGUGAAUCAUCGAAUCUUUGAACGCACAUUGCGCCCCCUGGCAUUCCGGGGGGCAUGCCUGUUCGAGCGUCAUUUCAGCCCCUCAAGCCCGGCUUGUGUGAUGGACGACCGUCCGGCGCCCCCGUCUUUGGGGGUGCGGGACGCGCCCGAAAAGCAGUGGCCAGGCCGCGAUUCCGGCUUCCUAGGCGAAUGGGCAACAAACCAGCGCCUCCAGGACCGGCCGCCCUGGCCUCAAAAUCUGUUUUAUACUUAUCAGGUUGACCUCGGAUCAGGUAGGG